UGGUUCCGGCAUCGAUGGAGAACGCAGCGAAAUGCGAUAAGUAAUGUGAAUUGCAGAAUUCCGUGAAUCAUCGAAUCUUUGAACGCACAUUGCGCUCCCUGGCACUCCGGGGAGCAUGCCUGUCCGAGCGUCAUUUCUGCCCUCAAGCCCGGCUUGUGUGUUGGGCGUGGUCCCCCCAAAACAUUCGGGGGGGACCUGCCCGAAAGGCAGCGGCGACGUUCCCGCCUAGGUCCUCGAGCGUAUGGGGCUUUGUCACCCGCUCGGGAGGGACCUACGGGCGUUGGUCACCCACGAUUCUUUGUACGGUUGACCUCGGAUCAGGUAGGAGUUACCCGCUGA
rnacentral:misc_RNA from 1 species